rnacentral:rRNA from 1 species
GGACUACUGGGGUAUCUAAUCCUGUUUGCUCCCCUUGCUCUCGCGCCUCAGCGUCAGGUAAAAACUAGAAAGCCGCUUUCGCCACCGGUGUUCCUCCAUGUAUCUACGCAUUUCACCGCUACUCAUGGAAUUCCGCUUUCUCCGUCAGUCCUCAAGAAACACAGUUUCAAAUGCAGCACCAAAGUUGAGCUUUGGUAUUUCACAUCUGACUUAUGCUCCCGCCUACGCGCCCUUUACGCCCAAUAAUUCCGAUUAAUGCUUGUACCCUACGUAUUACCGCGGCUGCUGGCAC